CAAACAAAUUGUCAUGGAAACCACGUGACAGGAUCAGAGCACUUACAAAGAGUGAAGUGCUGAUGGGAUCAAAGAGAAGGAAAAGAUGAAUGGAGCCUUCAGUUGUUGCAGUUUGAUGAAAAUGAUAGAAGGCCCCAUGCAAGAAAAGUGAGUGCAUAUCAAUGAGGUGCUCUCUGCAAGAUGUUUGGCCAAGAAAGAACCCACUUUUUUGUGGAAUGAUGAGACAUGACACAGUGUGGUCAGCAAAUCACUUGCAUGCUACAAAGUAUUUUCAGCUGGAACACUCCACCAGGAAAACAAAAAAGAAUAGAUGCGCCUUGGGGUUUGAAAAGAAAUUCACAUUAAACCAACUUUGAAGGAAUGUAUCCUCUUUGUGGUUCUGACAGCAACUGAUGGAAAAAAUGCAUGCAUCUUUCAUUUUCCUGUCUACAUGAGAAAACUGUAUCAGAAUCUUUCUCUUUUUGUUUCACCUGCAUGCAAACAAAUACCCACAACCACUGACUAGAAAAUGUGUAAAACUGUAUAUAUUAGGAAAAGUAUGAGCCAAAUGAAACACAAUUUUGGGCAGAAAAUAAAGGAAA